GUGGGGAAUCUUGCGCAAUGGGCGAAAGCCUGACGCAGCCAUGCCGCGUGAAUGAUGAAGGUCUUAGGAUUGUAAAAUUCUUUCACCGGGGACGAUAAUGACGGUACCCGGAGAAGAAGCUCCGGCUAACUUCGUGCCAGCAGCCGCGAUAAUACGAAGGGGGCUAGCGUUGCUCGGAAUUACUGGGCGUAAAGGGCGCGUAGGCGGACAGCUUAGUCAGAGGUGAAAGCCCAGGGCUCAACCUUGGAAUUGCCUUUGAUACUGGCUGUCUUGAGUUUGGGAGAGGUGAGUGGAACUCCGAGUGUAGAGGUGAAAUUCGUAGAUAUUCGGAAGAACACCAGUGGCGAAGGCGACUCACUGGCCCAAUACUGACGCUGAGGCGCGAAAGCGUGGGGAGCAAACAGGAUUAGAUACCCCUGUAGUCC
rnacentral:rRNA from 1 species